CAGCCUGUAGGCACACUGUAGAGUCGAAUUCAAACCCCGAAACAAGUAAGGACCCCUCACCCUAUUUCCUAUCACGGUAUUAAAGCUAAAUAAAUAAUUAAAUUGUACUUUGUGACUUUAUAGAUGUAUAAUUGAUUAAGGUUGCCAAUGGAGCCCGAGUCUGAUACAGUGUUGGUCUGUUAUUGUUUGGUCUAAUUUUCAGUAUUAAAUGCAGCAUGAUGUUUGAUGUAAUUAUGUUAUGGUCUCGUAUGCAUGAACUAUGAUUUCUUUUAUUAUGGUUUGUAUUAUGGUGAACCCGGUACUGUAUUGUCUUAUUUGGUGUCAAUUACUGGUUUAUAUGUUGUGUAUGAUUGGAUGAUUGAGAUUAAGGAAAA
rnacentral:lncRNA from 1 species